GAGGACACAGUGAGAAGAUGGCAUCUAUGAAUCAGGAAGUGGGCCCUCACAGGACACCAGCUCUGCCGAAACUUUGAUCUUGGACUUGCCAGCCUCCAGAACUGUACUUUCAAGUCAGAGAGGGCUGGGUAUGAACCCCAGCUUUGUCACUGGGAAACUGCCCCAAACUCUGCCGAUGCUCAGAGUCCUGGCUUCUUCACCAUCAAAUGGGAGAGAGCCAUCGCCACCUGAUAGGAUCCUGGAGCACAUUUCAUCCUCAAGGACAAAUGGACAUUUGCAUAAAUUCCUGUUGGACCAGCUUGACAAUCUCAGCUGCUGGUUCCGUUUUUUUUUUUUGGACUAAAAGAAAAAAAAAGACAAGAAGAGGAAAUAAAUUAGGAAACCAUUGCAAUAGCCCCAAGCCUGCACAGUGGCAAUAGAGAGG
ensembl:lncRNA